rnacentral:rRNA from 1 species
AUCAACUUUCGAUGGUAGGAUAGAGGCCUACCAUGGUGGUAACGGGUAACGGGGUGUUAGGGCACGACACCGGAGAGGGAGCCUGAGAAACGGCUACCACAUCCAAGGAUGGCAGCAGGCGCGCAAAUUACCCAAUCCCGACACGGGGAGGUAGUGACAAUAAAUAACAAUACGGGGUUCUUUAGGAUCUCGUAAUUGGAAUGAGUACAAUUUAAAUCUCUUAACGAGGAACAAUUGGAGGGCAAGUCUGGUGCCGGCAGCCGCGGUAAUUCCAGCUCCAAUAGCGUAUAUUAAAGUUGUUGCAGUUAAAAAGCUCGUAGUUGAAUUUCGGGGUUAGUAGAUUGGUCAUGCCUCUGGUAUGUACUGGUUUCACUCAUUCCUCCUUCCUGAUGAACCGUAAUGCCAUUUAUUUGGUGUUGCGAGGAAUUUGGACUGUUACUUUGAAAAAAUUAGAGUGUUUAAAGCAAGCUAACGCUUGAAUACAUUAGCAUGGAAUAAUGAAAUAGGACGUUCGAUCCUAUUUUGUUGGUUUCUAGGAUUGACGUAAUGAUUAAUAGGGAUAGUUGGGGGCAUUAGUAUUCAAUUGUCAGAGGUGAAAUUCUUGGAUUUAUUGAAGACUAACUACUGCGAAAGCAUUUGCCAAGGAUGUUUUCAUUAAUCAAGAACGAAAGUUAGGGGAUCGAAGACGAUCAGAUACCGUCGUAGUCUUAACCAUAAACUAUGCCGACUAGGGAUCGGAUGAUGUUAAUUUUUUAAUGACUCAUUCGGCGCCUUACGGGAAACCAAAGUGUUUGGGUUC